CCUACGGGGUGCUGCAGUGAGGAAUAUUGGUCAAUGGACGAGAGUCUGAACCAGCCAAGUAGCGUGAAGGAUGACUGCCCUAUGGGUUGUAAACUUCUUUUAUAUGGGAAUAAAACGUUCCACGUGUGGGAUUUUGUAUGUACCAUAUGAAUAAGGAUCGGCUAACUCCGUGCCAGCAGCCGCGGUAAUACGGAGGAUCCGAGCGUUAUCCGGAUUUUUUGGGUUUAAAGGGAGCGUAGGUUGAUUGUUAAGUCAGUUGUGAAAGUUUGCGGCUCAAACGUAAAAUUGAAGUUGAAACUGGCAGUCUUGAGUACAGUAGAGGUGGGCGGAAUUCGUGGUGUAGCGGUGAAAUGCUUAGAUAUCACGAAGAACUCCGAUUGCGAAGGCAGCUCACUGGACUGCAACUGACACGGAGGCUCGAAAGUGUGGGUAUCAAACAGGAUUAGAUACCCGGGUAGUC
rnacentral:rRNA from 1 species